rnacentral:tRNA from 1 species
GGGGUUGUGGCUCAGUGGUAGAGCACUUGCCUUGCAUGUGUGAGGCACUGGGUUCGAUUCUCAGAGCACUG